UACGUAGGGGGCGAGCGUUAUCCGGAUUUACUGGGCGUAAAGCGCGUUAAGGCGGUUGGCAAAGUUGGUUGUGAAAUUUCAGGGCUCAACCCUGAAACUGCGUCCAAUACUGGUCGACUUGAGUGUGAGAGAGGAAGGUGGAAUUCCCGGUGUAGUAGUGAAAUGCGUAGAUAUCGGGAGGAACACCAGUGGCGAAGGCGGCCUUCUGGCUCACAACUGACGCUGUAGCGCGAAAGCUAGGGGAGCAAACAGG
rnacentral:rRNA from 1 species